rnacentral:rRNA from 1 species
UAGGGAAUCUUGCGCAAUGGGCGAAAGCCUGACGCAGCAACGCCGCGUGGAGGACGAAGGCUCUCGGGUUGUAAACUCCUUUCGACUGGAACGAAAUUGACGGUACCAGUGGAAGAAGCCCCGGCUAACUACGUGCCAGCAGCCGCGGUAAUACGUAGGGGGCAAGCGUUGUCCGGAUUCAUUGGGCGUAAAGAGCUCGUAGGCGGUUCGGUAAGUCGGGUGUGAAAACUCUGGGCUUAACUCAGAGACUGCACUCGAUACUGCUGUGACUAGAGUCUGGUAGGGGACCAUGGAAUUCCUGGUGUAGCGGUGAAAUGCACAGAUAUCAGGAGGAACACCCGUGGCGAAGGCGGUGGUCUGGGCCAGAACUGACGCUGAGGAGCGAAAGCGUGGGGAGCAA